UUCCGUAGGUGAACCUGCGGAGGGAUCAUUACCGAGUUUACAACUCCCAAACCCCUGUGAACAUACCAAUUGUUGCCUCGGCGGAUCAGCCCGCUCCCGGUAAAACGGGACGGCCCGCCAGAGGACCCCUAAACUCUGUUUCUAUAUGUAACUUCUGAGUAAAACCAUAAAUAAAUCAAAACUUUCAACAACGGAUCUCUUGGUUCUGGCAUCGAUGAAGAACGCAGCAAAAUGCGAUAAGUAAUGUGAAUUGCAGAAUUCAGUGAAUCAUCGAAUCUUUGAACGCACAUUGCGCCCGCCAGUAUUCUGGCGGGCAUGCCUGUUCGAGCGUCAUUUCAACCCUCAAGCCCCCGGGUUUGGUGUUGGGGAUCGGCGAGCCUCACGGCAAGCCGGCCCCGAAAUACAGUGGCGGUCUCGCUGCAGCUUCCAUUGCGUAGUAGUAAAACCCUCGCAACUGGUACGCGGCGCGGCCAAGCCGUUAAACCCCCAACUUCUGAAUGUGACCUCGGAUCAGGUAGAAAUGCCG
rnacentral:rRNA from 1 species